rnacentral:rRNA from 1 species
CCCAGACUCCUACGGGAGGCAGCAGUGAGGAAUAUUGGUCAAUGGGCGGGAGCCUGAACCAGCCAGGUCGCGUGUGGGAUGACGGCCCUCGGGUUGUAAACCACUUUAGUAGAGAACGAAAAGGAGCUAUCGAAUAAAUAGCUCUGCUGACGGUACUCUAAGAAAAAGCAUCGGCUAACUCCGUGCCAGCAGCCGCGGUAAUACGGAGGAUGCGAGCGUUAUCCGGAUUUAUUGGGUUUAAAGGGUGCGUAGGCGGAAUGCCAAGUCAGCGGUAAAAUCGCGGGGCUCAACCUCGCUCCGCCGUUGAAACUGGCGUUCUUGAGUGGGCGAGAAGUAUGCGGAAUGCGUGGUGUAGCGGUGAAAUGCAUAGAUAUCACGCAGAACUCCGAUUGCGAAGGCAGCAUACCGGCGCCCAACUGACGCUGAAGCACGAAAGCGUGGGUAUCGAACAGGAUUAGAUACCCGAGUAU